rnacentral:lncRNA from 1 species
GCAAGUAUUCAUUACCCUCGUCACUACUAUUGUUCGAUUGUUCCACAUUUCCCCCCUGUAUUUCAUCAUUUGAUGAUGAACAACCUGUGCAUCACAAAUUUUCGGAAAUCAGAACAAAAAUAUUAAAAUUUGGUUUAAAAAUUUUAAAUCAAUGAAUACAUAUCAAUUUGACCGAAUUAAAAACAAUUAUUUGGGGACCCGGGAACUAAUUCCAGCAUAACAUUAAAAACAAACAAAAAUUCCAAAUCUGCAAAUUUUUAUAUGAAAAAGACACAUGGACCUUUGAACAGCAUACUACAACACCAAAAGGGGGGGGGGGGGGGGGAAAGCCAGAUCGGCAAUGUGUUACUUUGAAAACGAGAAAAAAACAUCACUUAUAUUAUUCGAACAGAUUUUAUAUCGAAAGCUGUUUGAAUCUUUGUUAAAAGUUUAAAAACUUACCACUGUCGCCUCUCUUCAAUUUAGAAACCGAGGGUCUUCAAUGGAUGUUUCGAUUUGCAGGAAUUAUGAAAACCCUAGUGUUUCAGAAUAAUGAACGGAAGGUGGAGCGUGUAAUUCGGGGGGAGAGAUUUGGGAAGAUCGUGUGUUUU